AUGAGGUGGAAACGGACAGAGCUGGCGUAUCUUGCCUGUAUUCAGCCAUUGGCUUGUGGGUGACGGAUUGGCGUUCUCCAGAUUGGGACGACGGUCUGACCACUCAUGGUCCAUUGGUGCAUUUGCAGGCUGUGUGCGCCGAGGCGCUCGGGGUAGCUGCAUGAUUUCGGUAUUGAGGCCAGCCCUUCACGGGGCCUGGAACCCGGACCGGGUGAGUGCUGUUUGCUCUGGGUUCGUCAGCGAGCAAUGGAAUCGGGCUCCUGUGGGUGCCGAGCUGGCAGCCGGCGGCGGUCGCGUGCGACACGUGCCGGUGGUUAGUUCGGUCCUGUUUGGGCUCACACGUGCUCGUCCUCGGUGUAAAAGCUGGUCAUCUGUCCGACCCGUCUUGAAACACGGACCAAGGAGUUUAGCGUGUGCGCGAGUCAUUGGGUGUUGAAAACCUAAGGGCGCAAUGAAAGUGAAGGUCUCCCUUGUGGAGCUGAUGUGCGAUCCUGGUGCACUCCGGUGCCUGGGCGCAGCAUAGUCCCGUUCUGACCGCUUGCGGUGGGGCGGAGACAGAGCGUAUGCGCUGAGACCCGAAAGAUGGUGAACUAUUCCUGAGCAGGAUGAAGCCAGAGGAAACUCUGGUGGAAGUCCGAAGCGAUUCUGACGUGCAAAUCGAUCG
rnacentral:rRNA from 1 species